rnacentral:rRNA from 1 species
AGGGAGUUUGAUCCUGGCUCAGGAUGAACGCUAGCUACAGGCUUAACACAUGCAAGUCGAGGGGCAGCAUGGUCUUAGCUUGCUAAGACUGAUGGCGACCGGCGCACGGGUGAGUAACGCGUAUCCAACCUGGCCCUUAGUAGGGAACAGCCCGGCGAAAGUCGGAUUAAUGCCCUAUGUUUUCCAAUGAUGGCAUCUGACUUGGAACAAAGAUUCAUCGCUAAGGGAUGGGGAUGCGUCUGAUUAGCUUGUCGGCGGGGUAACGGCCCACCGAGGCGACGAUCAGUAGGGGUUCUGAGAGGAAGGUCCCCCACAUUGGUACUGAGACACGGACCAAACUCCUACGGGAGGCAGCAGUGAGGAAUAUUGGUCAAUGGGCGCGAGCCUGAACCAGCCAAGUAGCGUGCAGGAAGACUGCCCUAUGGGUUGUAAACUGCUUUUAUGCGGGAAUAAAGUCAGGUACGCGUACCUGUUUGUAUGUACCGCAUGAAUAAGGACCGGCUAAUUCCGUGCCAGCAGCCGCGGUAAUACGGAAGGUCCGGGCGUUAUCCGGAUUUAUUGGGUUUAAAGGGAGCGCAGGCGGGUGGUUAAGCGUGCUGUGAAAUGUACCGGCUCAACCGGUGACGUGCAGCGCGAACUGGCUAUCUUGAGUGGGUACGACGUCAGCGGAAUUCGUGGUGUAGCGGUGAAAUGCUUAGAUAUCACGAAGAACUCCGAUUGCGAAGGCAGCUGUCGAGUCCCUUACUGACGCUAAAGCUCGAAGGUGCGGGUAUCGAACAGGAUUAGAUACCCUGGUAGUCCCCU